UACGAAGGGGCUAGCGUUGCUCGGAAUCACUGGGCGUAAAGCGCACGUAGGCGGAUCGUUAAGUCGGGGGUGAAAUCCUGGAGCUCAACUCCAGAACUGCCUCCGAUACUGGCGAUCUUGGAGUCCGGGAGAGGUGAGUGGAACUCCGGAGUGUAAGAGGUGAAAUUCGUAGAUAUCAGGAAGAACACCCGUGGCGAAGGCGGCUCUCUGGGACGGUACUGACGGCGAGACGCGAAAGCGUGGGGAGCGAAACAGG
rnacentral:rRNA from 1 species